UAAACUGGCAGCCAAUGCUUGCUCGCCAUCACGUAGUGUCGUGUCAAAUAUAAUUACGCGGUCAGACAUCUAUUCU
rnacentral:tRNA from 1 species